GGGGGAUUUAUAUGGGGGGGGGGGUCAAUAGAAUGGGGGGGGUCUCAAAGGGCCAUAUGGGAUCGGGUUUAUAGGGUUACGGGAUUGGGAUUAUGGCGUUAUGGGAUUAUGGGGUGGAUUAUGGGAUUAUGGGGUGGAUUAUAGGAUUAUAGGGUGGAUUAUGGGAUUAUGGGGUGGGAUUAUGGGAUUAUGGGGUAGGAUUAUGGGAUUAUGGGGUGGGAUAAUGGGAAUAUGGGGUGGGAUUAUGGGAUUAUGGGGUGGAUUAUGGGAUUAUGGGGGGGUUAUGGAUUAUGGGGUGGGAUUAUGGGAUUAUGGGGUUGGGGCAUUAUGGGAUUAUGGGGUGGGAUUAUGGGAAUAUGGGGUGGGAUUAUGGGGUGGGAUUAUGGGAUUACGGGGCGGCAUUAUAGGAUUAUGGGAUCACAGCUUUGGAACGCUGGGAUUAUGGGGUCGGGGUUGGGAUUAUGGGGCUGGGAUUGGGAUUAUGGGGCCGGGAUUGGGAUUAUGGGGUCGGGAUUGGGAUUAUGGGAUACAGGGGUGGGAUUGUGGUAUUAUGGGAUGGCAAUUCGCCUAUAAACUCCGCAUUUGAGUCCAUUUUUGUGCCCUGAGGCCCAUUUCCGUGACCCGGGAUUGGGAUUACGGGGUCGGGAUUAUGGGAUUAUGGGGUCGGGAUUGGGAUUAUGGGAUUACAGGGUGGGAUUAUGAUAUUAUGGGAUGGCAUUUCCUCUACGAGCUCCAGAUUUGAGUCCAUUUUUGUGCCCUGAGGCCGAUUUCUGUGGCCCGAAACGGGGGGAAACGAACCACGGGGUCGGGAUGAUGGGGCCGGGAUUGGGAUUAUGGGGUCGGGAUUGGGAUUAUGGGAUUACAGAAUGGGAUUGUGGUAUUAUGGGAUUGGCAUUUUGUCCAUAAGCUCCGCAUAUGAGUCCAAUUUUUGUGCCCUGAGGCCCAUUUCCGUGACCUGGGAUUGGGAUUAUGGGGUCGGCAUCGGGAUUAUGGGGUCAAAACUGGGAUUAUGGGAUUACAGGGUGGGAUUAUGGUAUUAUGGGAUGGCAUUUCCUCGACGAGCUCCAGAUUUGAGUCCAUUUUUGUGCCCUGAGGCCGAUUUCUGUGGCCCGAAACCGGGGGAAACGAACCACGGGUCGGACUUAUGGGGUUCGAGAUUAUGGAUUAUGGGUCGGAUGGGAUUAUGGGAUUACAGAACGGGAUUAUGAUAUUAUGGGAUGGCAUUUCCUCUACGAGCUCCAGAUUUGAGUCCAUUUUUGUGCCCUGAGGCCGAUUUCUGUGGCCCGAAACGGGGGGAAAACGAACCACGGGGUCGGGAUUAUGGGGUCGCGAUUGGGAUUAUGGGGUCGGGAUUGGGAUUAUGGGAUUACAGGGUGGGAUUGUGGUAUUAUGGGAUGGCAUUUUGUCCAUAAACUCCGCAUUUGAGUCCAUUUUUGUGCCCUGAGGCCCAUUUCCGUGACCCGGGAUCGGGAUUAUGGGGUCGAGAUUAUGGGAUUAUGGGGUCGGGAUUGGGAUUAUGGGAUUACAGAACGGGAUUAUGAUAUUAUGGGAUGGCAUUUCCUCAACGAGCUCCAGAUUUGAGUCCAUUUUUGUGCCCUGAGGCCGAUUUCUGUGGCCCGAAACGGGGGGAAACGAACCACGGGGUCGGGAUGAUGGGGCCGGGAUUGGGAUUAGCGGGGUGGUCAUUAUGGAGUGGCAGGGGAGGGGGGAGGUCAGGCCAGCUG
ensembl:lncRNA